ACUAAGCGUACACGGUGGAUGCCCUGGCAGUCAGAGGCGAUGAAGGACGUGCUAAUCUGCGAAAAGCGUCGGUAAGGUGAUAUGAACCGUUAUAACCGGCGAUGUCCGAAUGGGGAAACCCAGUGUGUUUCGACACACUAUCAUUAACUGAAUCCAUAGGUUAAUGAGGCGAACCGGGGGAACUGAAACAUCUAAGUACCCCGAGGAAAAGAAAUCAACCGAGAUUCCCCCAGUAGCGGCGAGCGAACGGGGAGGAGCCCAGAGCCUGAAUCAGUGUGUGUGUUAGUGGAAGCGUCUGGAAAGGCGUGCGAUACAGGGUGACAGCCCCGUACACAAAAAUGCACAUGCUGUGAGCUCGAAGAGUAGGGCGGGACACGUGGUAUCCUGUCUGAAUAUGGGGGGACCAUCCUCCAAGGCUAAAUACUCCUGACUGACCGAUAGUGAACCAGUACCGUGAGGGAAAGGCGAAAAGAACCCCGGCGAGGGGAGUGAAAAAGAACCUGAAACCGUGUACGUACAAGCAGUGGGAGCCCUGAUUUAUCAGGGUGACUGCGUACCUUUUGUAUAAUGGGUCAGCGACUUAUAUUCUGUAGCAAGGUUAACCGAAUAGGGGAGCCGGAGGGAAACCGAGUCUUAACUGGGCGUUAAGUUGCAGGGUAUAGACCCGAAACCCGGUGAUCUAGCCAUGGGCAGGUUGAAGGUUGGGUAACACUAACUGGAGGACCGAACCGACUAAUGUUGAAAAAUUAGCGGAUGACUUGUGGCUGGGGGUGAAAGGCCAAUCAAACCGGGAGAUAGCUGGUUCUCCCCGAAAGCUAUUUAGGUAGCGCCUCGUGAAUUCAUCUCCGGGGGUAGAGCACUGUUUCGGCAAGGGGGUCAUCCCGACUUACCAACCCGAUGCAAACUGCGAAUACCGGAGAAUGUUAUCACGGGAGACACACGGCGGGUGCUAACGUCCGUCGUGAAGAGGGAAACAACCCAGACCGCCAGCUAAGGUCCCAAAGUCAUGGUUAAGUGGGAAACGAUGUGGGAAGGCCCAGACAGCCAGGAUGUUGGCUUAGAAGCAGCCAUCAUUUAAAGAAAGCGUAAUAGCUCACUGGUCGAGUCGGCCUGCGCGGAAGAUGUAACGGGGCUAAACCAUGCACCGAAGCUGCGGCAGCGACACUGUGUGUUGUUGGGUAGGGGAGCGUUCUGUAAGCCUGUGAAGGUGUGCUGUGAAGCAUGCUGGAGGUAUCAGAAGUGCGAAUGCUGACAUAAGUAACGAUAAAGCGGGUGAAAAGCCCGCUCGCCGGAAGACCAAGGGUUCCUGUCCAACGUUAAUCGGGGCAGGGUGAGUCGACCCCUAAGGCGAGGCCGAAAGGCGUAGUCGAUGGGAAACAGGUUAAUAUUCCUGUACUUGGUGUUACUGCGAAGGGGGGACGGAGAAGGCUAUGUUGGCCGGGCGACGGUUGUCCCGGUUUAAGCGUGUAGGCUGGUUUUCCAGGCAAAUCCGGAGAAUCAAGGCUGAGGCGUGAUGACGAGGCACUACGGUGCUGAAGCAACAAAUGCCCUGCUUCCAGGAAAAGCCUCUAAGCAUCAGGUAACAUCAAAUCGUACCCCAAACCGACACAGGUGGUCAGGUAGAGAAUACCAAGGCGCUUGAGAGAACUCGGGUGAAGGAACUAGGCAAAAUGGUGCCGUAACUUCGGGAGAAGGCACGCUGAUAUGUAGGUGAAGCGACUUGCUCGUGGAGCUGAAAUCAGUCGAAGAUACCAGCUGGCUGCAACUGUUUAUUAAAAACACAGCACUGUGCAAACACGAAAGUGGACGUAUACGGUGUGACGCCUGCCCGGUGCCGGAAGGUUAAUUGAUGGGGUCAGCGCAAGCGAAGCUCUUGAUCGAAGCCCCGGUAAACGGCGGCCGUAACUAUAACGGUCCUAAGGUAGCGAAAUUCCUUGUCGGGUAAGUUCCGACCUGCACGAAUGGCGUAAUGAUGGCCAGGCUGUCUCCACCCGAGACUCAGUGAAAUUGAACUCGCUGUGAAGAUGCAGUGUACCCGCGGCAAGACGGAAAGACCCCGUGAACCUUUACUAUAGCUUGACACUGAACACUGGUCCUUGAUGUGUAGGAUAGGUGGGAGGCUUUGAAGUGUGGACGCCAGUCUGCAUGGAGCCGUCCUUGAAAUACCACCCUUUAAUGGCUGGUGUUCUAACGUGGGCCCGUAAUCCGGGUUGCGGACAGUGUCUGGUGGGUAGUUUGACUGGGGCGGUCUCCUCCUAAAGAGUAACGGAGGAGCACGAAGGUUGGCUAAUCCUGGUCGGACAUCAGGAGGUUAGUGCAAUGGCAUAAGCCAGCUUGACUGCGAGCGUGACGGCGCGAGCAGGUGCGAAAGCAGGUCAUAGUGAUCCGGUGGUUCUGAAUGGAAGGGCCAUCGCUCAACGGAUAAAAGGUACUCCGGGGAUAACAGGCUGAUACCGCCCAAGAGUUCAUAUCGACGGCGGUGUUUGGCACCUCGAUGUCGGCUCAUCACAUCCUGGGGCUGAAGUAGGUCCCAAGGGUAUGGCUGUUCGCCAUUUAAAGUGGUACGCGAGCUGGGUUUAGAACGUCGUGAGACAGUUCGGUCCCUAUCUGCCGUGGGCGCUGGAGAACUGAGGGGGGCUGCUCCUAGUACGAGAGGACCGGAGUGGACGCAUCACUGGUGUUCGGGUUGUCAUGCCAAUGGCACUGCCCGGUAGCUAAAUGCGGAAGAGAUAAGUGCUGAAAGCAUCUAAGCACGAAACUUGCCCCGAGAUGAGUUCUCCCUGAGACUUUAAGUCUCCUGAAGGAACGUUGAAGACGACGACGUUGAUAGGCCGGGUGUGUAAGCGCAGCGAUGCGUUGAGCUAACCGGUACUAAUGAACCGUGAGGCUUAACC
rnacentral:rRNA from 1 species